AACGAACGCUGGCGGCAUGCCUAACACAUGCAAGUCGAACGAAGCCUUCGGGCUUAGUGGCGCACGGGUGCGUAACGCGUGGGAAUCUGCCCUUGGGUUCGGAAUAACAGUUAGAAAUGACUGCUAAUACCGAAUGAUGUCUUCGGACCAAAGAUUUAUCGCCCAAGGAUGAGCCCGCGUCGGAUUAGCUAGUUGGUGAGGUAAAGGCUCACCAAGGCGACGAUCCGUAGCUGGUCUGAGAGGAUGAUCAGCCACACUGGGACUGAGACACGGCCCAGACUCCUACGGGAGGCAGCAGUGGGGAAUAUUGGACAAUGGGGGCAACCCUGAUCCAGCAAUGCCGCGUGAGUGAUGAAGGCCUUAGGGUUGUAAAAGCUCUUUUUACCAGGGGACGAUGAUGACGGUACCUGGAAAGGAAGCAACCGGGCUAAACUCUGUGCCAGCAGCCGCGGU
rnacentral:rRNA from 1 species